GACGAACGCUGGCGGCGUGCUUAACACAUUCAAGUCGAACGGUGAAGCGCCUUCCUUUUUGGUGGGUGUGGAUGAGUGGCGAACGGGUGAGUAACACGUGAGUAACCUGCCCCCUUCUUCUGGAUAACCGCAUGAAAGUGUGGCUAAUACGGGAUAUUCUGGGUCUGUCGCAUGAUGGGUCUGGGAAAGAUAUUGUUUCGGUGGGGGAUGGGCUCGCGGCCUAUCAGCUUGUUGGUGGGGUGAUGGCCUACCAAGGCGGUGACGGGUAGCCGGCCUGAGAGGGUGGACGGUCACACUGGGACUGAGACACGGCCCAGACUCCUACGGGAGGCAGCAGUGGGGAAUAUUGCACAAUGGGCGCAAGCCUGAUGCAGCGACGCCGCGUGAGGGAUGGAGGCCUGCGGGUUGUGAACCUCUUUCGCCAGUGAAGCAGGCCUGCCUCGUUUGUGGGUGGGUUGACGGUAGCUGGAGAAGAAGCGCCGGCUAACUACGUG
rnacentral:rRNA from 1 species